rnacentral:rRNA from 1 species
AGUGAACGCUGGCGGUAGGCCUAACACAUGCAAGUCGAACGGCAGCACAGUAAGAGCUUGCUCUUACGGGUGGCGAGUGGCGGACGGGUGAGGAAUACAUCGGAAUCUACUUUUUCGUGGGGGAUAACGUAGGGAAACUUACGCUAAUACCGCAUACGACCUACGGGUGAAAGCAGGGGAUCUUCGGACCUUGCGCGAUUGAAUGAGCCGAUGUCGGAUUAGCUAGUUGGCGGGGUAAAGGCCCACCAAGGCGACGAUCCGUAGCUGGUCUGAGAGGAUGAUCAGCCACACUGGAACUGAGACACGGUCCAGACUCCCACGGGAGGCAGCAGUGGGGAAUAUUGGACAAUGGGCGCAAGCCUGAUCCAACCAUACCGCGUGGGUGAAGAAGGCCUUCGGGUUGUAAAGCCCUUUUGUUGGGAAAGAAAAGCAGCAGGUUAAUACCCCGCUGUUCUGACGGUACCCAAAGAAUAAGCACCGGCUAACUUCGUGC